GACAGGCUGACUUUGAACUCCUGAUCCUCCUACCUCCAGAUCUGGAGUACUCUGUUAUAGCUUGUACCACCAAACUGUUUAUGUGGUCGGUGGAUCCUAGGCAUGGAACUAAGGGCUGAAGAGUUAAAAAAAAAGUCUCAGAAUAAAUACGCUUUUCGAGAUGGUAAAAAUUCUUUCCAAGGGCAGCGACUUCAAGGACCUAAUCCUGGCCCACGAGGCUCCAUGUUGCCAAAGAAAUGAGAACCAGGAUCCAGGAACCUGUGGUCAGCCAACCAGAGCAGCUAAUCUGAGAACACCUUGUCAUCUGGCCUGAAGGAAGACUUGGUAGCUGGAAUGAGUAAUCAAGCCCCUGGGAAGUCUCCAGGUCUCUAGAGAUAGAGUUAACCAAUCAAGAUAGAAGGGCACGCCCUCCUCCCUGGAAUUCCCCUAACUGACAAUAAAAGCCAGGCUGCCAGUCCACUGGGUCUCCCUUCCCAGAUGGGGAGACACUGAGUGCAGGAAAUUCAGUUGAACAAACGCUUUCUGUUUUCGCAUAGUAUGAGUCUGGGGUAUCAUUUUUUUGGUGAUUCUUGGACUCUCACAACAUCACCUUCCAGCACUAUAAAAGCUAGUUACUGGGGAGAAGCUUUUUGGUCAGUACUAAUUUAAUUUCACCAUGUCCUGUGGCUAAAG
rnacentral:sRNA from 1 species